rnacentral:rRNA from 1 species
CUGCGGAAGGAUCAUUAUCGAAUAAACUUGAACAGGCUGUUGCUGGAUGGCCCCCUUUGGGGGGUGGUUAUGUGCACGCUUGUCUCAUCUUUUAUUUCUCCAACUGUGCACAUUUUGUAGGCCCUGGGGGCCUUUGAAUUCUUCGGAAUUUUCGAGUUGGGACUGCUGUGCCUUUGUUCAUUCAAGCCAGCUUUGCCUUGCAUCUCCAGGUCUAUGUCAUUUUUUCACAAUCUCUCAAACAUGUUUAGAAUGUUGAAUCAGGUCUAUGUACCUAUAAAAAUGAAAUAUACAACUUUCAGCAACGGAUCUCUUGGCUCUCGCAUCGAUGAAGAACGCAGCGAAAUGCGAUAAGUAAUGUGAAUUGCAGAAUUCAGUGAAUCAUCGAAUCUUUGAACGCAUCUUGCGCCCCUUGGUAUUCCGAGGAGCAUGCCUGUUUGAGUGUCAUUUAACUUCUCAACCACACAUCAUGUGUGUGGCUUGGAUGUGGGGGUUGUUUUUGCAGGCUUUUAGUUUUCUUAAGGUCGGCUCCCCUGAAAUGUAUUAGUGGUAUCUGAGCUUUGCUGCUAUAGGUGUGAUAAUUAUCUAUGCCUCUGGUGUGCUUGCAUGAGCAGAUUGCACCGCUCCCAACGAACAAUUUGAUGAAUUUGACCUCAAAUCAGGUAGGACUACCCGCUGAACUUAAGCAUAUCAAUAAG